rnacentral:rRNA from 1 species
UACGUAGGGUGCAGGCGUUAAUCGGAAUUACUGGGCGUAAAGCGUGCGCAGGCGGUUUCUUAAGUCAGAUGUGAAAGCCCCGGGCUUAACCUGGGAACUGCGUUUGAAACUGGGAGACUUGAGUGUGGCAGAGGGGGGUGGAAUUCCGACGUGUAGCGUGAAAUGCGUAGAUAUGUGGAGGAACACCGAUGGCGAAGGCAGCCCCCUGGGUUAACACUGACGCUCAUGCACGAAAGCGUGGGGAGCAAACAGG